CUCCUCUGCUGUUGCUCUGUCCUUGUUUUCCUUUGCUGAUUGUCAUAAGCAGGUGUCUGUGUCAGACACACACGCUUGUAGUAGCUGGUUUAUCUGAUGAGCCCAGAACGUGACGGCUGCAGACCUUCCACCCUGUUCUGGUUGUUGGUCAGACGCUUCUUCUCCUUCGGUUCUUCUGCUGAUGGUGGGAAAGGAGUCCAGAUCCGGAUUUACCCUCAUCCCGCUCAGCUCUGCAUUAGAAUAGAGAGCAGAAACAAUGGGAGCAUUUGCUCCUGACAUGAUAUGUGUGUGUGUGUGGUGUGUGUGUGGCAGAGUGCAAACAAUUCUUCCCCAGAGUUUGUUUCUCCUUUUUUCCUGUUACUCUCAUCACUCUUUUGUUUCUUUUAGGGGUGUAGUUUUCAUUGUUUUGCUUUUUCAAAUCUCAUCUUUUGUAUCUAACUUUUCUUUUAAGGUGCAUAUGUCUUUUACACUAAGUGAUUCUCCUUUUGAACCCAUAACCAGUUUCCCACUCAUGGAAACAUGAAACGCACUAAUAACCAUAUUUACUUUUUACUUUUAUAAUUACUUUUAAUUUUGUAAUGCUGCAGUCUGGUGGUGAAGACUCAGAUUGCCCCGAACCCGUCUUUCAGAGUCCUGCGGUUUCCUGCCUUAGAUUUUUUUGUGUGUUCCGGCCGGAACCUUCCCAAAAUGCCUUUUUAUCGGACGUCUCCGUAAAAAGGGAACCAACCUGAUCUGGCGACAGAUCCUUUCACGAAGUAUUUCCUCAACGUUAGGCCCCUCUAGGCCCGGGUCCCUCGUAUCUUGAAAAUACUUCACUCUGCGAACGCGCUCCCUCUUUCAGAAGCCGUCUUUUAUACUCAGUCCCCCACAUGUGGACCACGCACAGAUAAAAAAAAACAUGUCUGUAUCCUCAGUACAGACGGAAGCUCGGUUCCACGAGCCAACCCUUAGCAACCGACGUCUCACCACCCAGAGCAGACUUUCACCUAAUUAAGAACAUGUAAUAUUGGGAUUUUUUUUUCUC